rnacentral:antisense_RNA from 1 species
GUACAUGUGCCAUUACUCUUUGGCCAGCCAACCUUCUUCUGCUGAUUCUUUUUCUCUUUUUUGACAUUGAUUGGUACUCCAAGAAUUAUAAAUGAGAUUAGUCUUAUUUAUUUUUACUAAUCUUAUAUCUGU